rnacentral:rRNA from 1 species
AUUGAACGCUGGCGGCAUGCCUUACACAUGCAAGUCGAACGGCAGCGGACCUUCGGGUGCCGGCGAGUGGCGAACGGGUGAGUAAUGCAUCGGAACGUGCCAUUGAGUGGGGGAUAACGUAGCGAAAGUUACGCUAAUACCGCAUAAGCCCUGAGGGGGAAAGCAGGGGGAUCGCAAGACCUUGCGCGAAUGGAGCGGCCGAUGUCAGAUUAGCUAGUUGGUGGGGUAAAGGCCUACCAAGGCGACGAUCUGUAGCGGGUCUGAGAGGAUGAUCCGCCACACUGGGACUGAGACACGGCCCAGACUCCUACGGGAGGCAGCAGUGGGGAAUUUUGGACAAUGGGCGCAAGCCUGAUCCAGCCAUGCCGCGUGUGGGAUGACGGCCUUCGGGUUGUAAACCACUGUCGGAAGGGACGAAUGCCCCGCAAGGGGAGUGACGGUACCUUCAAAGGAAGCACCGGCUAACUCCGUG